GCUCAGCCGUCCGUGCAUAUCUCUGCACGGAGCCUGCAGCGCACGGGGAAUAAACCCCCACACCUACACCCGCUGCGCCCCUGCGGCCUCGCCUCUCCUUCCUCACCUCUGGCCGCGGAGCUCUUUCCAGACCACCCGUGUCCCCCCGCCAGCCAGGCCCCCCGGCCCUCCUCCCGUCACUCCCGUCACCCUCCACCGGAAAACACUUGUGCACUUGGCGCUGUGCACACAGUGUGCCGUGAGCUCUGGGAAAGUGGCCUCCUGUCGUCGGGCGCUGACCACACUCACCCCAGCUCUUGCCACCAAGAGCUGUCCGACGGCGGAUGGGGCCCAGGGGAGAGAGAGGCACACCUGCAAAGCAGAAGGGGCCCCACGGCGCCAGUGACCCAGGGACCAAAUUCCUGUAGCCAGAAAAACACUCCUACUCCCCAACCAGGACCUUCACUCCUGAGAUGGGUGAGUACCCCCCACUUCCCCCACAGCUGUGGGGCAGUGGCUCGGGGGCCUCAGUGCACAGGGGACAGCCGAUUCCCACCCCCCCCCCCCGACACGCAGCAUCUGGGGCAUGGGGGCAGGGCAACAGGCCCCCGCUCCCCCAAAGCCAGCCAAGUACCAGGCUUCAGCCUGUCAGCCUGGGGGCCGGGCACCCGCCAAGGGCACGGCCGGGUCACCCACAGACACAGCCGGACCCAGGAUCGGCCCUCCCCGCACCUUGCCAACACUUUCUUUAAAGGGUCCCAGCUGUUUAGGAAGUGUUCACGUCAGGGGAAGUCAGAGAGAAGGGGCCGAACCAGUUGGAAGGUUCCGGCCUCCGUGCCGUCCGGGCUGUCAGUACGCAGGAGAGUGGUUCCAAGCCGGCGGCCAGGGAGCCCCCCCAGGAGGGCCUGCCGCCCUCUUUGUAGAACGAGGCCUUCCAAGUGACAUUUCCUCCACGGUUUUAAGCAAAUCCCUUGUCCUAAUAUUUGUGCUAAGUUGACUUUUAUGAUUUUUUAAGCUCCUAGGCUGGCUCGGAAAAAAUCUUUGAAAAGAAGGCCAGCUUAACGGAAAGGUCAGGGGUUUAAAAACCAAACAGUGAGCUUAAGCAGCUGGGCCAGGGCGCACCUCCACCAGCAACGUCCUGAGCAGCUUUGGCUCCUGGCCGGCAAAGGGACAGGCCCCCGCGGUCACUGGCUGGUCCCUUCCCCUUGGGAGGCUCCUGGGAGAGGCGGCCACACGGCACGGGCCACGGUAGGGCCCCGUGUUACCUGUGUGCCGAGAUGGCAGCGAGCCCCUGGCACGGCGGCAUGGUCUGGUGGGAUCACCUCCUUUUGUGCCCCAACCCCCAGACCCGUUUACUUCGUUGGUGGGCUUGCCUUCCAGAGAAUAAGCUCAGCUAACCCGGAGGGGUUUUCCUGCAACCUUUGUUGGCCUGGGCCCCUCACACCCUCCGAAGCCACCGCACCACCCUCAGCAACUCCCACCACGCAGGCGUUUGCUGAGUGUCCACGGCGGGCCAGCGCAGCCCGCGUGCGUCACAGCCCCCGCCCCAGACGCCCCAGGGAGCAUCUGUGCCACCGCCAUUCCCAUGUUACAGAUGACAAAUUGAGGCACAGAGAAGCUAAAGCCGAUGCCAGGCACCACGUGGCAGGGCCACGAUUAAGCCUCCUGUGCUGGCUUCCCGCGAAGAGACGCUUGUGGUGUCUUUGAACGCUACAUUUUGAAGCGCGUUUUUUUCUGUGCUGGACCCCGGACGAGACCAUCAGCUUCCGCGGACCAGGCCGGCCAGUUCACAGAGGAACAAACACAGACCCCAUGCGCUCGCCGUGGGCAGGUGUGGGCCAGGGUCUGGGGUCUGGGCGAGCUUCUUAGGUCUCGCUCCCUUCCUUCAACCCCCUAGGCCUAGGGAGGGUUCCUAUUAGCACAGCGGGGUCCACACACGGAC
rnacentral:lncRNA from 1 species